rnacentral:misc_RNA from 1 species
GAUGAAGAACGUAGCGAAAUGCGAUAAGUAAUGUGAAUUGCAGAAUUCAGUGAAUCAUCGAAUCUUUGAACGCACAUUGCGCCCGCCAGUAUUCUGGCGGGCAUGCCUGUCUGAGCGUCAUUUCAACCCUCAAGCACGGCUUGUGUGUUGGGCCUCCGUCCUCCUCCCGGGGGACGGGCCCGAAAGGCAGCGGCGGCACCGCGUCCGGUCCUCGAGCGUAUGGGGCUUCGUCACCCGCUCUUGUAGGCCCGGCCGGCGCUUGCCGACACAUCAAUCUUUUUUCCAGGUUGACCUCGGAUCAGGUAGGGAUACCCGCUGAACUUAAGCAUAUCAAUAAGCGGAGGA